GUAAUCUGACUGUUUUUCUCAUAGCAGCAGCCGUUGCUGGCAACUCUCUACUGAUCACGAGAUGCUCUUUCAACAUUGGGAACUACAAGCUGAGCAAAAGUGGCUUAGCUAUGCCCCUCAAUAAUGUAACAAAGGAGCUGCAACAAACUCAGAUUUUUAUCUUACUUCUGUCGUAGUAGCAGUAAUACAUCACACUGAGAAUCACUGCCUUUGGACACUACUCUAAAUGAAGGGUGAGUUGGAAGAGAAUCUAAAGGAGACCAUCAAGAACAAGCAGAGAUUUUGGAAAAGUGUUCUAUAAAGUUCUCACACAUGGAAAAUUCAAUUUCAACAUGAACUUUGUCCAAGAGAGGUCUGAAAGCAAAAUUCCAGAAAAUGAAUAGCAGUGAGAGACUGUGGAGUCCAUCUGAAACUGUCCAGCGGUUCUUUCUCUCCUAGCUUGUUGCUACUUCUUUGAUAUCCCCGCUGAAUUCUAUGCGAAUAACAAUACUCUGUGGCAUUGUUUGGCAUUGAUGGGAUCACUACACAUAUGCAAGUGUACAAAGCAGGCCAGAAAAUGUGUUUUCAGAUUUUUCAAGCAUUAAAAUAUAUGAACAGAAGCUCAAAGUAGAAGUAACAGUUUUAACUUUCAGACAUAACACUUCUUUAAAGUGUUAACUACUCUUGAUUCAUGUCUAUGGAAAAACAUAACUGUCCAAGUCUUGUAAAUUAAGAUGCACAAGAAGCUUAAUCUCUGGUAUUAAGAGAAGUCUGGCCCAAUGGAAAGUACUUCUGAGCUAAACCUGUACUAUGAAAGACUUUUAAGAUCAAGGACUUAAAUUCUGCACUGAUAUACACUAUGUACAAUUCCAGUGGAGAUAAAAGAAUUAUGUGGUUCACAUAUGUCAAAAUUUCAUUCUCAGAUUUAACUAAAAACUCGAUCUACAAAAAAGGGAUUUGUAACAUCUGAGAUUUUACAACUCCUGCAAGCUUCCAGACAUCACCAAAGUCUGUAAAUGAAUCAGAGUAUGGGAAUAUUGUUCUCCCUGCAGCAGUGAAGGAAAUAACAAGUCUGACAUAGGAGCCAGAUUUUGAUUGGCUUUUUCAGUGUGGAGAGGCAAGGGAAAGCAGUAUUUCUGCCAGUGCAGAAGGCCUUAGAAGGCCUUCCUUCUAAGACUGGAAACCUGUGAAGGGCUGACUUUGUGAUACAGAUAAGUGGCCCAUAGAAAUAAGACAUGAUUUCCAACUUAUUUCACGUCACCCAGUAAGUCACCAUAUGGAGAUAGCUGUGUCACCAUCAAUCCACUAUCAGUCCCUCUAAACUUGUGAUUUUGGCACAAUCCUUCCACUGUCAAUA